UACGUAGGGGGCAAGCGUUGUCCGGAAUCAUUGGGCGUAAAGCGCGUGUAGGCGGCUCGGUAAGUCCGCUCUGAAAGUCCAGGGCUCAACCCUGGGAUGCGGGUGGAUACUGCUGGGCUCGAGUCCGGAAGAGGCGAGUGGAAUUCCCGGUGUAGCGGUGAAAUGCGUAGAUAUCUGGAGGAACACCGGUGGCGAAGGCGGCAUUCUGGACCGACAUUGACGCUGAUGAGCGAAAGCUAGGGGAGCAAACGGG
rnacentral:rRNA from 1 species